rnacentral:rRNA from 1 species
AGCGAACGCUGGCGGCGUGCCUAACACAUGCAAGUCGAACGUGAACGGGAGCAAUCCUUAGUAAAGUGGCGUACGGGUGAGUAACGCGUAGGCAAUCUACCCCAGAGUCUGGAAUAACCGGCCGAAAGGCUGGCUAAUACUGGAUAGAGCGACGGAAUCCGUAAUUGGGUUUUUCGGGAAAGGGAGGGAGCAAUCCCCCUUGCUUUGGGAUGAGCCUGCGUCCCAUCAGCUAGUUGGUAAGGUAAUGGCUUACCAAGGCGAUGACGGGUAGCUGGUCUGAGAGGAUGAUCAGCCACACUGGAACUGAAACACGGUCCAGACUCCUACGGGAGGCAGCAGUGGGGAAUCUUGCGCAAUGGACGAAAGUCUGACGCAGCCACGCCGCGUGAGUGAAGAAGGCCUUCGGGUUGUAAAGCUCUGUCGCCCGGGACGAACAUUCUUACGGUUAAUAGCCGUAGGAACUGACGGUACCGGGAGAGGAAGCACCGGCUAACUCUGUGCCAGCAGCCGCGGUAAUAC